rnacentral:rRNA from 1 species
GAUGAACGCUGACAGAAUGCUUAACACAUGCAAGUCUUUGGCGAAGCUGUGCUUGCACCGCCUAGCCAAGGCGGACGGGUGAGUAACGCGUAAGGAACUUGCCCUGCAGUCAGGGACAACAGACGGAAACGACUGAUAAGACCUGGUAAAGUCAGGCGGACUCAUGUCCAGCCUGAUGAAAAGAGAUGCUGCAGGAGAGCCUUGCGUCCUAUUAGCUUGUUGGUGGGGUAACGGCCCACCAAGGCGAUGAUAGGUAGCCGGCCUGAGAGGGUGGACGGCCACAAGGGGACUGAGAUACGGCCCUUACUCCUACGGGAGGCAGCAGUGGGGAAUAUUGGACAAUGGGGGCAACCCUGAUCCAGCAAUUCUGUGUGCACGAUGAAGGUUUUCGGAUUGUAAAGUGCUUUCAGCAGGGAAGAAAAAAAUGACGGUACCUGCAGAAGAAGCGACGGCUAAAUACGUG